rnacentral:rRNA from 1 species
UACAGAGGGGGCAAGCGUUGUUCGGAAUUACUGGGCGUAAAGGGCGCGUAGGCGGCCUUCUAAGUCGAACGUGAAAUCCCUGGGCUCAACCUAGGAACUGCAUUCGAAACUGGUCACCUAGAGUGAUGGAGAGGAAAGCGGAAUUCCCGGUGUAGAGGUGAAAUUCGUAGAUAUCGGGAGGAACACCAGUGGCGAAGGCGGCUUUCUGGACAUUUACUGACGCUGAGACGCGAAAGCGUGGGGAGCAAACAGG